UUGGGGAAAGGAAAAAACUAAACUACGGGUCUAGGUUAUUUUGGGAUUGCGAUGAACAUGUAAAGAAAUAUGGUCUUACCAAAUGGGACAUUAUUUGUGAACCUAGGGGGAAAGAAAUACUGGGUAGUAUUUAGGACAUGUAAGUUAUUCCAACACAUGUCUACAUAGCAUCUGGCGUUUCAAGGAAACCUGCAGAUUCACCUAUCGUUUUUUUUCAUUCGACAAGCGGAAGUUCCCAUAAUGUACUCAAACUCACAGUGCCCUCCCUAAUGCAUUCAUUCAAGGGUGGCCAUCACGAGGAUUUACAUGUACC
rnacentral:lncRNA from 1 species